GUGUGUUGACUUCUGGCUCUUUGUAGGACAGGAUUGUGUGCAAUGUAGCUCUCCUGCUGGUGCUCUUACACCUUGCCAGGCAACUGUAAAGGAGGGAAAUUUUAUAUGGUGGGAACUGCACUCCUUUUCUGUCUGAGGAUAUCUAUCUGUUCCAGAACUAAUACUUGCUACAACCAGAGAAUGAAAUGGUCUGAAUAGAGCGUUAAAUAACUUGGCUUUGACAGCUCCAUCAUUUCCUCAGAACUUGGAACAGAAUUUGAGCUCUACUUCUACAGUAUCUUAUAAUGCCAUCCUUGCCUAAUGAGGGAGAUAACCAUGGAACUGCUCCUGUGACUUUGCGAUCAGAACUACCCUAUCAAAGCCCAAUUAAAAGAAAGGUCAGAAAGAAGAAGAAUGGAGUCAUCACUGCAAAUGUUGCUGGCACAAAAUAUGAAAUUGUACGCGUGGUAAUACGAGAAAUGGGAUUUGUGAAAACACGUGAUGAAGAUGAAACAGCUAAUCUUAUAUGGAGUGAUUCUGCUGUGCAGCAAGAAAAGAUUGCUGAACUUCGAAACUAUCAGAGAAUCAACCAUUUUCCAGGAAUGGGAGAGAUCUGCAGAAAGGAUUUUCUGGCAAGAAACAUGACUAAAAUGAUCAAGUGUCAGCCUCAGGAGUAUACUUUUAUUCCUCGAACAUGGAUCUUCCCUGCAGAGUACACGCAGUUUCAGAACUAUGUAAAAGAACUGAAGAAGAAGCGUCGACAGAAAACAUUUAUAGUCAAACCAGCUAAUGGUGCAAUGGGGCAUGGGAUCUCAUUAAUAAGAAAUGGAGAAAAGUUACAAGCUCAGGAUCACUUGAUUGUUCAGGAAUAUCUUGACAAACCAUUUCUUAUGGAAGGCUACAAGUUUGAUUUGCGUGUAUAUAUUCUUGUAACCUCUUGCGAUCCAUUAAAAGUGUUUUUAUAUCAUGAUGGACUGGUGAGAAUGGGCACAGAAAAGUACCAUCCCCCCAGUGACUCAAAUUUGAGCCAGUUGUAUAUGCAUCUGACUAACUACUCUGUGAAUAAACAUAAUGAACAUUUUGGACGGGAUGAAACAGAAGACAAAGGAAGUAAACGCUCCAUAAAAUGGUUUACUGAGUUUCUAGAAACAAAUAAUCUUGAUGUCUCCAAAUUCUGGAAUGAUAUUUCAGAGUUAGUAGUGAAGACUCUCAUAGUUGCAGAGCCACAUGUUCUUCAUGCUUACCGCAUGUGCAGGCCAGGGCAAGCACCAGGAAGUGACAGCGUCUGCUUUGAAGUCCUGGGAUUUGAUAUUCUGCUGGACAGAAAACUAAAACCAUGGCUCCUAGAGAUUAAUCGUGCUCCAAGCUUUGGAACUGAUCAAAAAAUAGACUACGAUGUAAAAAAGGGUGUUCUUCUAAAUGCGUUAAAGCUUCUCAACAUACGGACAAGUGAUAAAAGGAGAAACUUAGCCCAACAGAAAGCUGAAGCUCAAAAAAGACUGUAUGGUCAAGGCUCAAUGAAAAAACUGUUGCCAGGUUCCUCAGAUUGGGAAAAGCAGCGCCACACGCUGGAAAGGAGAAAAGAAGAACUGAAGGAAAGACUUGCACAAGUCCGUAAACAGAUUUCCAAAGAAGAGCAUGAAAAUAGGCACAUGGGGAACUACAGGAGAAUUUACCCUCCUGAUGAUAAAACAUUACUUGAAAAGUAUGAGAGUUUGUUAGCCACUGCUUUCCAGACAUUUCUUGCCGGGAGAGCAGCUUCACUUCAGCGGGAAAUGAAUAACCCUUUAACAAGAAUGAAGGAGGAGGACAUUUUGGAUCUUCUGGAGCAAUGUGAAAUAGAUGAUGAAAAACUAAUGGGAAAAUGUACCAGGCAGCGAGGACCUAAGCCCUUGUAUUCUAUGCCAGAAAGUGCACAGCCCUUAAGAAAACUUAAGAACUACAAUACUGAUAGCAGCUGUGACAGUGGUAGCAGUUUGUCAGAGUCGGAAGAAGAAACUGAAAAGGAAGAUCAUAAUGAAAAAAAAGAGAAAAAAGUAUCAUAUGAUCUUGAAGAAAAUAAAUAUAAAUCUUUGGAACGAUCAGGUAGAAUGAACUGGAAACCUUCAAAUAAAAAUAUAAAAUCUCCAUCAUAUUCACCCUCCACAUCAUCUGCAGGUCCAAUAAGGCGUUCUGUAAGCUGCCCUCGUUCAAUAUCGACUAUGCAGUCACAUGAGCAACGUCCCUUCUCGGCCAAAGCAUCACUGCAAAUCCAGCGUGCAUCCUCAGUGAAUAGGUCUCGUUCUUUAAAUUGCAGCCCAUCUUCAUCCAGAGUCUCUCAGACAUCCAGCCUGGGAACUAUGAAUUCUUCAGGGAAUGAGUCUUUGCUGCAACAGAAAACGAAAGAGCAAGAAGUUGCUUUGACAAAAGAGACUCUACUCAUUUUCAAUGACAUGAGAAUGAAGUUCCCAGGCAAAACAGAUGAAGAAUCAGAAUUAAUUAUAGAAGAUAUAAUGGAUAAUUGGAAGCAUCAUAAAACAAAAGUGGCAUCAUAUUGGUUGGUAAAACUGGAUUCUGUAAAGCAACGAAAACUUUUGGAUAUAGUCAAGACAAGCGUUCGUGCAGUCCUCCAGCAUGUCUGGAAGGCUCCAGACAUUGAAAACUUACACCUGUACCGUCUCUUCAACCGUGUAUUUAAUCGCUUACUUUGGAGCCAUGGUCAAGGCCUGUGGAACUGUUUCUGUAAUUCAGGGAGCUCUUGGGAAACCAUAUUCGGUAAAAGUGCAGACGUGGUGACUCCAGAGCAACUCCAGUGUUGCCAACGGAUAGUACAGCUUUGUAAACACUGCCUGCUAGUGGUUUACAAAUAUUCAUCCGGCUCCAGAGGAUCACUGACUGGAAUUAGCCCCAGCUGGGAUGAUACAAGAUCCCUCAAAGUCAGUGAUUCCAGAUUUGCAUUCUUAGAGGUAUCCUAACAUGUAUGAUACUUCUGGCUUCACAUUCGCAGUGGGAUGCUAUAGGGGCACAACUCCAGCCAAGGGUCAGGUGUUUGUUGCCAGGACCUUCACAGUUCAUCACGAAAUCAUCCUCGUCCAACCUUAGCUGCAGUUCAUCUGGAAUGCCUCGCCCUAACAUUUUGUUCACACACAGAUAUAGUCACUUGUGAAGCAAAAGAAAAGUUAAUUUUCUUUGUAAAUAAUGGCACUCCAUUUUUUUUUUCAAAUUAAAAUUUGUCAUGGAGCUAAAUGCAAGCACUGUUAUCAUAAUAUGGUAGUAAAUAUAUAACAUUUAGCUGAAAACCUACUGUAAAAGCAUAGCUUUUCUGGAAGCAUAAUAAACCUUGUUAAGCUGUUUACACACAUUUGAAUGUGUAGAUCUUGCUAGGUUUAUAAGUAAUUCCUACUAGAAAUGUUAUUUUUGCUGCAGAAUAUAGAAAUGAAUUUGAUCUUGAAGAUCCUAUUACAGUGUUACAUUAUUUUGUAUGUACAAUACUUUGACUUGAAUAUUAUUUAUUGUAAAGUAUACUAUUUAUUGUCUCAAAUGUAAUUGAUCCUUUAACUAGACAGAUGAUUUUAAAAAUGUAGUAGAACAGUAAAACUGUAAUAAUUAUUAAAAAUAAUCUGAUAAUUUCUUGGACAUGUUUAAAAUAAUCCCCCAAACUCUGUAAGCCACACCUGAAACAGAUAUAUUUUUUUCAUUUCUCCUCUGAAAUUACGGGUCCUGCUUAGUGCUUUUACUUUUCUUAAAGGACAUGGCAUAGUAUCUUUUAGUCAAAGUGAAGGCAUUCUUUAUGCAAAUAGUAAAAAUACCAGUUCAUGCAUUCAGUUUCUAAUUUGAUUUUUGUAAUAAAGCAGAAGCCAACAUUUGUUAACUAGCUUUCAUUCACAUUACCUAUGGCCUGUGCCUUUAAGUUUCCUUUGGGAGCAAGCAGUCACCUACAACUUGUGCAAGCAUGUAUAGUGGGUAGUUUUUUCUGUUUUACUACACAAGUGGUAAAGCAGACAUUUUUUAGGAAAUACUGCAACUCUAAUUUAUUAUUUCAACCUUAUACUAAUUGGUUUGCUGUAGUUUUUAGCAUACAAUCCAAUACAUACUGUAGAAUGUGUUGUUUAACUAGACAGUAUUUUCUAGACUUGUUGACACCUUUAAAUGUUGGAAAUAUAAUUCAGUAGAAAGCCCUCAUUCAGAUUCAGCUUCCUCAACCUGGCUGAAGGGCACAAAAAAAGAAAGUGAGCCAGAACAGGAACACAAAAUUAACAGGACUUGCAACCUGAAAGCAUCAUUCAAGUUUUCUACAUACACCCUUUCAUUUCAUUCAGCAUUGCACCAUAUAAGCCUUAUUCGUUAUAUAAAUAAUUAUUUAAAAAAUCAGCUAAUCUAGAUUUAAAAUGUUUUAUUUUAUUUUAUUUUAUUUUAUUUUUUUAAACUGAGUAAAGAAGAGAGUAGUAGGUAUUUACCAAAGACUUGUUUACUUUCUAAUAACGUAACCUGGAAACUUGUUUGUAAAUUACCAAUGUAUUUUAGGUAUAUGUUAAAAAAUAAUUUAGGGGAGUUAAUUGACCUCAGGAGAAGUAUAUUAGAGGUUUUUGAUAUACAGAAAUUUAUGAGAAAUUUAAGAGACUUAAGAGAUUUGAGACUGAAGUUGUCUGGAAUUUAAUUUUUUAAAAUCUUAGUCAUAGUAUAUAUAUCAAAUUGGGAAUUCUGGUGAGAUUUUUGAUGCCUGUGCUGUACUGCCUCAGCUCUAGAACUGCAAGAUACAAGAUAGCAAGACUAUUUAUAAACAAUUGAAAAAGACAAAACAACACCAGAAAACAUAGAUUAGCCAGAUAUAAGCAGUCUUCUAGCCUGGUAAAAAUCUUUUUCAUUCUCAUGGUAAUACUGAUUUAGUAAUACAGUAUGUUCACAUUAAUUGUGUAUAUUUCCUUUGAUCCAUAUUGAUAAAGCAUAUUAUGAUUAUCUGUAACACGUAAUAAAAGCUGUAAAUCCUCUCUUC